rnacentral:lncRNA from 1 species
ACAGUCCUGAACUGUCCAGACAGCUGCAUGGAGCUGUCAUCCACCCUUCCCUGGAGAGUGUCUAAUCUCCUGCCUAAACUUGUGCCCUGAUCACGCCCCCCUGAAUCUGUGCACAGGGGACUUAGUCCGGCUCUCUGCUCAGAACAAUGUGCGGCCACAACCUGCUUGCCGUCCCUGCCAGGAGCAGCAAUGUGUUCUCCACUCUCCUCUGACGAGGCUUUUGGCAGCCUGAGCUGUCUUUCUGGCUCUCACUGUGGAGCCCACACCCAGGGCUCUAAGAGGCUGGCCUGAUUGUUAUUCUGGAACACUGAGGUCAUUCAGAAGCCCCCUGCAGCUCUGUUAGCCCAAGUGGGCCGGCCAACCAUAUUCUGUCUGGCCCCCAGGCCAGGCCAUGGAUUUAUUUUGGAUCAGAAAUGCUGGUCUCAGAAGACUCCAGGGAGACUCGGAGUACAGGGAUUUGCUGGGUGCCAGGGCAGGUGGCAUUCCAAGCUGGUGGGACCCAGUCGGACUGGUUGGUGAAUCUACGUAUAGGAAUAGCAACAAAAGAUAAAAAUCCUUGGAAACUAAGGGAGGAAGCAGAAAAUUGGUCUUUAUUUGCUGAUCUGUCUAUUCUUGGGAAAUGGAAACACAGAGGCUGCACCUUUGGAAGUGUGACUGGAAGACUUAACUGGGAAUUCAUAAGUUACAUAUUUAGUUCCACUCACUGAACUCAGCAUAUGAUCAAUGACAUUGAUUUUGUGGUGCUGGGGAUUGAACCCAGAGCUUUAUGCAUGCUAAACAAGUAGUCUAUGACUAAGGUAUAUCCCUGGGCUCUAUAUGCAUCCAUUAUUAGUCAAUAAAUAAACAAUAACAAUAUUAGCAGUCAAUGAAUUUGUCACCACCAGUAUGAACUAUUAAUAUUUUUAUGUCAUCUCACAGUGUUGCAGAUACUACAAAAUUUAAUCUGUGUUCAUCACUACAGUAUAUUAAAUUAUGCUAGCUAUCAUACUCACCGUUAGAUCUGGACAUUUAGUGUAUUGCUAAGAAAGCAAUAUAUCAUGAAACUAGUAUAUCAUGAAACUUUUUGAAUAUUUGGAUAAUACAGUAAUUAUAGACCAAUAUAUUUCUUUAUGUAUUCAAAUUCAUUAUUGUUUGAGAAACAAAAAUAGAAAAGGGAUCCUGACAAAUGACAUAGAUAAUUCUCAAAAGAGGAUGUACCAGUGCCCAACAUCUAUGUGAAAAAUGCUCAGCAUCACUAAUCAUCAAAGAUAUGAAAAUCAAGAUCACAAAGAAUUAUUAUCCAACCACAAUUAGAAUGGCAUCAAAGGGCAAAACAAUAGCAGAUUCCAGUGAGGACUGGAGAAAGGAAAACUGUAUUGCUAGUGGAGGUGCAAAUUAGUAGAGUCAUUAUGGAAAGCAGUAUAGAGAUUCCUCAACAACCUAGGGUAGAACUAUUGUAUGAUCUAGCAAUCCCACUACUGAGUAUAUAUUCAAAGUUAUUUUUCCCUUUUUUUUUUUUUUUGGUACCAAGGAUUGAACUCAGACCUUGCGCUUGCAAGGCAGGAGGCAAAACCCCUGAGCUAAAUCCCUGGCCCCAAAGUCAUUAAUAUCAGUAUGUCAAAAAGGCAUCUGUACUUGCAUCUUUAUUGCAGCACUAGCCACGAUAUCCAGGAUAUAGUCAACUUAGGUGUCCAGUGAAUGUAUGCAUAAAGAAAACAUGGUAUAUAACUUGUACACACAAUAGAACACUACUGUUUAGCCAUAAAAAGCAACAUGGACAGCAGUGGAGGACAUCAUGUUAAGUGAAAUAAGUCAGGCAUUAAAAGACAAAUAUUACAUGUUCUCACUUAUAUCCAGAUGGAAAAAGUUGAUCUCAUAUAAGCAGAGAAUAAAGUACAAUACUGGUUACCAGAGCCUGGGAAGGGUUUGGGGGAAGAAAAGAUGGAGACAAGACAGUAAAUGUGUGCAGGGGUGCAGUUGUAUAGGGCAAAUAACCUCUAACUUUCUGUAGCACAGUAGUUGGCAAUAAUUGAUUGAAUAUUUCAAAAAUAGCUAAUUUGGAAGAUCUCAAACGUUCCCAGCACAAAGAAAUGUCAAAUGUCUGAGGUGGUAGAUUUUUCAGUUUCCUUAAUCUGAUCGAUACACAUUGUACAUACAUAUUAAAAUGUGACAUUGUACUCCGUAAAUAUAUGUGCUUAUUAUGUGUCAGAAAUAAAAUAUACUUAAAGCAAAGGAGCCCCCUAGGCUGUCCCAGACUACCCAAGUGGAUCAUCCCUCCAGAACAGAUGAAAGCUUUGGCUAGAGGAGGGGGAGGGAUUUGAGCAAGGCUUAUGGUUCUCUAUGGCCUUGGUAGAGAUGGGUCAUCUUCCUAGCUGCCCAGCAUCAACACUAGUCAUUGCAGGCAGUGUGGAGAAGUGGAACCUGGGACAUCUUUUCUAGAAAAUGUGGAAACUGAGGUCUUUGGUCCUUUCAACCUUUCAUUUGUUUUGGCCCUCACUUGUAUCAGAGUGUCAUAUCUUCUUAUUUCUCCAUUGAUAUCCCUCUGCCUCUUGUAUUUGGCUCAUAAAUUCAUAUGAGGAUCUAAGAAUUAAUUAUUAAUUUCUUUUAGUUUAGAAUUUAAGUUGAGUAAGUCAACUGUGUUUAUUGGAGGCUCAUUAUUCAUAUUUUCAACAAGAAGCCAAAAUGACCGAUUUUCUUCACAAGAGGGUGGGAAGAGCCUCAGUUUCAGGGUUGAGUCCUGGCAUUUGUCUUCCUGAGUUAUCAUGUUGCUGCAUAGAAAUGAAAGGCCUGGGAAGUGACCAGUGGUUUAAAUUAUUUCUAGGCUUGCACUGAAAAGCACUGUGAACAUUAAAUAAUAAAUAGCAGACCUACACUCUCCCAAAAGUCUAUGCUUUGAUGGAAGUUUGUUAUGGUUUUCAUUUAGUCCUGUGUUAAAUUUAGCCACAUUGUCCUGUACAUUUACAGAAAAGCAGGUUAUUGUGUCUUCUAUGGUUUGAAAUGUUUGACAGAGCUGAAUUGUUUUAAUUUUGGCAUCAUCAAGAUAUACAAACUUUAAUUUGCCUCUGAAAUUCCUUUCAGAUGAUCUAAAAUCCAUGAUGUUAUCAGUUAUCUUUCUUAAAAGAAAACUGAAAAACUUUGUACCUUACUUACAACUUUCCUAUUCCUCUGCUGAUGGAAGAUGAAGAUCAAAAUGCUUAGGGUGGGAUCCAGGGUUUCAUGCCUACCUCUUCACCCAGCCUCAUGGAUGCCCAUUUUCCCACACAUAUGUGGUGUGAUCAAAUAAUAUGUUUCAGUUAAAAGUUAUAAAAUUGAAAAAGACACAUUGUCAGUAAUCCCCCUUCAAAAUAAUUUCACUUGCUUCAAACAUACUUAUCACAUUGGUCUUGCAACUUUCUGAAGCAGUUCUGGCAGUUCUCUUUCGUGAAUAUCUUUAGUUGUGCUGCAAUGGCUGCCUUGAUGUCCUGAACUGAUUCAAAACUUCUACCUUUCAUGGUUAUGAUGACUUUGGGAAAGAGUCAGAAGUCCCAGGGUGCCAGACCUGGUGACCAGUGUGGAUGAGGACACAUUGUAAUGCUUUUAUGAGGCUACCUUUCUAUUGAAUGGCAAUGGGAAACAACAUUCACCAUAUUUUUGAUCACACUUUGUAAAAACAACUUGCAGGACAGCUUCAGAAAGUGGCAAGAACAAUAAGUAUGUUCAACAUAAGAGGGUGUUUUGGGGGGAUUAAUAGCUAUGUAUCUUUUACUGCAAUAAGUUUAAAAAAAUUAAAUCUUCAUUGUAUAGUUUUAUCACACUUUGUAUUUUUAUUUCAACCCCUUGAAAGUCCUC